AACACAACACAAAAUGGUCUACCUGGAUGGGGACCAGGAUUGGAUCCCUGUGCGGUACCGGGGACGGCGCUUAGUGCCUGGUGGCCGUAACAGGCAGUGGAGUAGCGGGAGGGCCCAAGGGAAGGACCGUGCACCUCCGCGUCCCUUCAGGGACCGGAACACUUUUCCUCUCCCUAACCGGCCAGUGCCUCCCUUUGGUCCGAACCGCUACUAUGGACCGCAGUCUCGGUCUUAUGCAGCAGUCACACGGGGAUUUGACAGGGGCUCUGCCACUAGGUUUGGGCGGUGGCAACCCAGAACAGCUGGUUAUGGGAGACAGCAACCAGCCCCCCCAGCAUUUGGAAGACUUGUGCGAAAGAUGCACAUGGUGAUUAAAAUGGUUCAUCACCUACAAAAUGUGGCCCCUAAGCCAGGGAAACCCCACCCUAGGAUGAUCUCCCGGAUGGUUGAGAUCUUGGGCUCAAUGAUCAAGCCCGCGUCCCCUACUUCUAAGACACUUGAUCUUAUACAGGGGAAUGCAAAGAAUUGGGGCUACACGACAUUGCUUGUGCUCGAGGACCACUACCUCACAAGUCUUGAGUCCCUGUUGGAUGACUUGGAGGGAGACUUGGUCCCAGAUUGGAAGGAUGCGUUUGGGGUGUCCAAACGGUGGGCUCGCCGCAAUUUGCCCCGCAUAUCCCAGGAAGUUCUGGAUCAUGCGGAAGCCUUGAUCACUGCAAGAACAAACAAGGACACUGAUCAACAAACACAACAUGACAGGCAGGCUCCUACAGAGGAGUCUAGCGACAGAGAUCGCACAACACACAGACGUGACGCACAGCAACAGACAUCCACAACACAACCACUGACACUGAACAAGCGGAAGCCCCACUUCAACGCACUGGAGCACGCACAGCUGCCACGAUGACGGAGCAGGUUAUGGUGCAUGCUGCACCUGCUUCCCAGUCCCCACCUCCUGUACAACCUCGGGAGAAAAGACCACCACGCAGGAGGAAUGCAUGUGUGAUCUCGCAGGAUGGUGACCUCCUCCAGGUAGAGGACUUGGGACACA
rnacentral:lncRNA from 1 species